rnacentral:lncRNA from 1 species
ACAUAAAAAUUUGCCAGUAAUACUCCUGGUUGUUGUUUAGCUAGCAGGUCAGGCCAGGCUUUUGCUAGAGAUUGACUGUAAGCUGCUUCUCAGGAAAGGAGAAGUGCUCUGGAAACCUGCAGAUGAAAAUGAAAAGAAAACGUCAUCAUGGUCAGAGAGUCUCACUAUGCUGCCAUCUGAGACUUCGAGUUCAUUACUGAAACCAUGCUUCUUCCCAGCAUCACGAGAAGAACACAACAGAUACAGAUCACCACAUUUAGCUGGUGGUAUUGUAAAAGCUCUUCAUUACUGACUUUCAUUUUUGCUUGUGUAUAAUUUGAAUCAAAUUUUAUAUUUUCUCAUUUACUACAAGUUUGCUUAACUCAUAUUUAGAUGUAACCAUAUUUUAUUACAUACCAUGUUUUUUAGAUUACAAAAGAUAUUUAAGUAAUGAAAAUAUUUGUAAUUUUUUAUUGGUUAUUUUCUUUGUUUACAUUUUAAGUGUUCUCCACAUUUCUGAUUCCAUCUCCGCAAACUGCCUAUUUCAUACCCAUUCCCCCUGCUUCUAUGAGAGUGCUCCCGAGCCCACCCACCCAUUUCCCCUUCACUGCAUUUCCUUAUGAUAUGGCAUCAAGUCUCCACAAGACCAAGAGCGUUCCCUCCCACUGAUGUCAGAAAAGCCAGUCCUCUGCUACAUAAGCAGCUGGAGCUAUGGGCUCUUCUAUGUGUAUUCUUUGGUUGGUGGUUCAGUGGAGCUCUGGGAGGUCUUGGUGAUUGAUAGUUUUGUAUAUUAUACUUUUCACUAUUUAAAACAAUAUUUUAAUUAAAUAUUCAAUGAUAUUAUACCACUUCCUCAAGUUCUUCAGCUCCUUUCCUACUUUCAUGCCAUCAUUAAGCCCCUUUGCCAAAAGAAAACAAAAUAAAUUAAAACACAACAACAACAAAGCCAAAAAGCAACAAAUAAUCCACAAAAC